UAAGCGUAGAGGAAUGGCUUUAAAUCUGGAAGAAGACGAAUAACCUAUGAAAAAUGUUCGGUCGGGGAGCCCAACAACUCGGUGGAAUUCGGUUUAUAAUCCUAGGUGGCCCACAGAGCUGCGCUACCACUUCAAUAUAGCUGAUUCAGCAUAAAGAAAAAAAAAAUGCAGUGAAGCUGGCUUGUUGAGUAGUUGUGCAGCUUCUGCAACUAUGUGAAGGAAAAAUGGACGAAGAACCUAUAUAUCACCUCGAUCUGCUACAGGCGAACCGUGUGUUGACGGCAAGCUGAACUCUUGUGCCAAUUGUAAAGAAUCAUGCUUGGCUGUUGUGGUUGGUUGCUGACGCUGUCAAUCUAUGAUCCAACUUAUGAUAAAAUGGACUCUGAAAUGAGAGCGGGGAACAUCGGUGCGUUGUAAAGUCAUGCACCUGAAAUGCGACAUCGUUUUUGCUGCCGUCUGCUAGUUGUUGUUCUGGUCUGUUCUCGUUUUGUUGCAGUAGGUUCGAUGCUUCCUGCACUACGCCGG